CUCCGGGGCUCGGAGACCCAGCCUAAGUGUAAUAGCAGCCGCCCCAGACAAUCGACUUCCCAGCCAAUGCCGGGAGCUCCGGGCGGCCCCGCGACCGACGUCAACGUGCGCGGGGGGACCCGAGCAGACGCCGGGUGAAAUCUCAGGUCAGGCCCACCCCACCACGGCCAGGGUGGCUUCAUCCACCAAAAACACUGGAAAGCCAAAAUGGCAAACUUGGCAACUACCUCCUAUGAACUGAAGUCAAAACUUCAAUGACAUGUCUCAUUUGAACUUCAUUACUUUAAAAGGUAUGAUUUGGAAGAUUUCACACAAAAAAUUUACAUUUCUGCCUCUCCUGGAAAAUGAGAAGGCCUAGCUCUUCAGACCUGCAUCCCCACCAGGUAACCUGGAAUUGACAGCAGUAUCUUGUGGGUGGUGUGGGCAGGCGUCCUCACUCUCCUGCUCAGAUUUGAAGGGGGAGUGAUAUGGCAUGAUUCAAUUUUAAAAAGUUUACCUUGGCUGGAUGAUGGACUUAGUUUGGAUAGACACUCAGGUGGAUGCACCCAGAAUCUGAUUGCUUCUCAGCACCCCACCACCUUCUUAGUAUAAGCCACCAAUCUCUCCCACCUAGACAAUUAUAACAGCCCCCUAACUUCCCUGUUCUGUGGUCUCUUCUCACAGGCAACCUGAAUGGUACCUGAUGAGAAUGUACUCAAAACCUCCAAUGGCUCCCAUCUAACUUGGAAUCCAACCCAAAGUCUUUCCCAGAGUCUACAUAGCCUCUGCUCACCUCUCUGGCCUCUCCUGUCACCUUCUCCUGUGCUCCUGGCACAUUCUGGCCUCCCUGUAGCUUUCCAGCAAGCCAAAUGCUCUCCUCCUACCAUUCACCUUUGCAUGCACUGUUCCAGUCUUGCUAUCUUCUUGUCCUAGAGUUCAGCUGCCCGACAACUUCCCAACCCUGGCUGUCUGCUUCUGUUGCUUCAUUCCCCUGCCACCUGAGAUUGAACAGGAUCCCAUAUCACUCCUGUCCUUCACCGUUGCUCCACCUCUCUGUUCUGUUUCAUUCUUCACACAUUACUAACAGAAUGUCUGUUUGAUAUCAGUCUCUGCCCUUGGCAAAAUCUCCACUAAGAGUCUCUGCUGUGCCCACAGAACCCAACACAGACACAGCACAUGGGUGUGCACAGCAACUACUGUGGAGAGAGUGGCUGAGAAAUGGUCCACAGCAGGGCUGUCUUGUGAGGCUAAAGGCAAGAUCAUAGGGAUGUGGCCAAGGUAGUGUGGUGGACAUGGAACAAGAAGCACUAUCUGGAAGCUCUCCAGGACAACCGUGGUAAUGGGCCUCAGAAUGCCCUCCAGUCCUCUGAUUUGGACAGCCACAUGGAAGACGGUUGCAUUCAUCCAGAAGAGUCACCAGGAGCUAUCAGGCUGGAGGGAAGGCUGUGAAUUUGCGUUUAGACAUCGGACAUUGUGUGGGAAGUACAAGAUAUAAAGAUGCCAGAAGAUGGAUUUUCUACAGUUGCUCUGAGAUCUAUCUGUUUAAUACAAAGGACAUGAGAAUCCAUUGCUAACAGAGGAGUUAGAUGCUCUGGAUUUGGGCUGGUAGCCUCUUUUUUCUGUAUCAAGCAGCACCUGGCAGCAAAAGAUGAGGAACACUAACCAAAGGGACUCUCCACACCUAGUAACCCUAACUACCUACAGGCUGUUGAACUCAGGGUAGGACAAGAGGGCUCCAAGAAGCAACUGACUGACUCAUCGAUACAACUGUGUCCUUUAAUAAAGUGAAGACUUGCUUUCUUUAAAAUCUGAGGGCAUCACUUUUUUUGACAGAAAUUAGUUCAAAACCUUUAUAUGGCCACUGCAGCUUAAUGGCAGGGGCAGCAUUAUGGGAUUUGGAAAGUGGUAUAAAAGCAGGGAGAAUGAAGCCUCCCAGCUGUCAGGACAGCCUAAUGGAGACAUUGAUAUCUGGCUGCCUGGGAAUUCUAGGGCCUUCUAGAAAAUUUAACACAGUGGAACUAGAAGGAUAUUCUUUCACACAAUCCUGAGGAUUUGUUGCCUUAGAUGUAGAAAGAGAUUAAAAAUGAAAGUAAAGCAUUGGCUCACAAAGCAGGCUUGGGAGUGAAGUAAACGGCUAGAGUCCAGACACAUGGCUACCAUGAAAGAUUAAACACAGAAGGCGCCACAGGUACAGGCAAAUUACCUCCCCCCCCCCCCCCACCACCACCACCGGUGAAGCCAGGAUUCUGGUAACUAGGGACUUGUUUACAGUAUAAAAUAACUGAGAGAGUCUUCCUCAAUUAAGGAGGAGGAGAGAGAAAGAGAAGAAGAAAAAAGCUUCAUAUUUUCGGAGAUUAAAUCCUUCCCAUAGACCACAAAAGGGAGACCAAUUACAGGAAAAUUUCAUUUUAAUGGGCACUCUGUUUGAAUAUUAUCACUAUUGACUAUGAGUAAUUCUGCUUUAGUAUGUGUGAGUUAAAACCUCUGCUUUUUCAGACAAGAGUACUUUCUGCCAAUGAGCUGUGACUUAAAGUUGUGUGAUUUGUGUAAAUGUGUUGUAAUUAAUUGAGCUUUAAAAAUUGACUUUGAGGGGUGAAGGUCUUGGAAAUGGAUGCUAGCUUGGAAAAAGGCACCUUCUAAGAGGUGAUAAAAGAUAUUUAACUGACACGAAGCUCCUCUAAAUUUAUUUUGGUGGAGGCAAUUAAAAAAAAUCUGCGUAUGUUUGAAAAAGACAAAAUUUAAUUUAAAAAUAUCUUAACAUUAGAACAAAAUAAAGACUGACUUGGGAAAGUUAGAGUUGAAUGGGAAACAUCAGCAUGAACUCAUGUAUUUUAAAGGGAUUCUAAUUCUAUCACUAACAGUGUAACUGGGCAGCCCCACCCCCCAGGGCGUAAUCGCAGUUUACAGCCUAUGAGCCCCAAGGCCUAGGUCUUUGUCUGUAUUACCUUCCCCACAAACAGGGCUCAAAAAUCCUUGAAAGAUCAUUAAAUUUGUGUUAAGGAUGGCAAAAAUCAAGAUGGGCCCAAGACACUUGCCAGAGAACGUUUUCUAAACUGUUUUGAGAUAUUGCUAAAUAAAACAAAGAACUCACACUGACCAUACUGCAUUGCUUUUUCAAAAAGAAAGUACCCAUUAUAGUUAACUGAAGCAUGUUAAGGCUGUGAAAAGCCAUGAGAUUUGUGUGAGUCAUAUACUCAAGUUCUGAUCACCUAAGUUGACAAUCUUAAAUCAUAUUCAAGAAUAUAGGGGCACCUGGCCGGCUCAGUCCAUAGAGCAUGCAACCCUUGAUCUCAGGGUCAUGGAUUCAAGCCCCAUGUUGGGGGUACAGAUUACUUUUUUAAGAAAGAAUAUAGGGCGCAUGGGUGGCUCAGUUGGUUAAGCAUCUGAUUCUUGGUUUCAGCUCAGGUCAUGAUCUCGCAGUUCAUGAGUUUGAGCCCCACCUCGGGCUUCAUGCUGUUGUGGAGCCUACUUGCAAUUCUCUCUCUCCCUCUCUCUCUCUGCCCCUCCCUU